GACAGAGGGUGCAAACGUUGCUCGGAAUCACUGGGCGUAAAGGGCGUGUAGGCGGGAAGGAAAGUCAGAUGUGAAAUCCCCAGGCUCAACCUGGGAACUGCAUUUGAAACUCCCUUUCUUGAGUACCGGAGAGGAAAGCGGAAUUCCUGGUGUAGAGGUGAAAUUCGUAGAUAUCAGGAAGAACACCUAUGGCGAAGGCAGCUCUCUGGGACGGUACUGACGCUGAGACGCGAAAGCGUGGGGAGCGAACAGG
rnacentral:rRNA from 1 species